UCUUUGGGGCGCGAACAAUGUGCUGUUUCUUUCACAUCAAAUUAAACGUUAUAUAACUCGUUGUUGAAACAGUCUCUCAUCGUGUUUGUGGCUACAGUCACAUUUAAUAGUUUGUCCCUAUUAUAGAUGAAGGGAAUACUAUUUAUAAUUUUGAGCGUUUGUAAGGUCAAUGGGCUCUGCAUUACCGGGCCGUGUGGACCUGGUCAGUAUUUAGAUGGUGCCUGCAAGCCAUGUCCUCCAAAUACAUUCUCGCCGUAUGAGAAUCAUGGCUGUCAGAACUGCAAGAGAUGCUCCACGCUAAGUCAAGAGAACCAUGAAGUUCUGUUGGAAAGCUGCACUCCUUUCAAAGAUGCGAUCAUCGGGUGCAAGCCUGGGUACUACAAAAUGACUGCACACGACGGAGAUGACCGCGAGUGUCUUAAAUGUACCCGCUGCCCUAAAGGUACGGUCAUCUUGACCAAAUGUGGUCAGCACGUUAAUACGGUUUGUGCAUCUUCGAAGAAGCCAGAGAGACAUACGGAAACCCCAGUGGACUUAGGAGACCCUCCUGGAUAUGUUAUGAUAAUCGUUAUCUGUACUGGGUUUGUGUUAUACAUUGGUUUAAGCGUUGCCUCUUGGGAUCUAUCAUAUCUUGGACAAAAGAUAUGAAAAAAAAAUUAUAAUGACAACGAUCGAAGACGUCCAACUAGACGUGGCGAGAUCAUUAUCUAAAGAUUCUUUUUUGUUUUCAACUCUUAUUGACUAACAGUAUGUAUGUAUACAUAAUGCAUAUAGAGCCUAUUAUAGAUAUAGAGUACCUGGUGACAGAAGAUGCUAUCAGUACCUACGAGGGAAACUCGAAUCUUGAUAGCCGCACACUGGCGUUUAACAAGAACUGUGCGUGCGGCGCCUCGAAUAGAUAGAUAUACCUGCAAAUGUGUGGCAGAGAAGAUACAUGCAAACUGCGUGGCAGAAAAGGUACCUGCAAAAUGUAUGGUAGAGGAGAUUUCCGCAAGCUGCGUGGCUGGCGUUCUGUCGGACUACACAUCCUUCACAAGGUCUGCUGACUUUGCGUCUUAGAACAACGACCCUGGGAACUACAACAGUGGUCGACACUAGUUCCCUUUGUGUUAAGUGACCGCCACAGUGGCCCUCACUACCUUCCACUGUAUCAGGUGUCUGGCGUCAGCGACAACCGCCAUGAAGUCGAAGCUGCAAUCACGACAUCGUCUCAAGAACUGACUGGCCAACUGUAGAAAGAGAAAGUGGUACCUGCAGAGGACAUUAUAUAUGGCUUUGCGGGGAACACGUUUUCAGUCGUCUGUGACUCCAACCGAUCGAGUUCCACCUGAACUUGCAAACUUCCAAUGCCUCAUUGUGAAUAUUUCGGGAAGAAAAGCGCGCUUUUACACACAAGGCAUGGACAGAUCCAAGAGAAGGAUGUUGACAUUAGAAAAACACAACGGAGAUUAGCUCAUAUCUAGGACUUACAACUUAGAUUAGCUCAUAUUUAGGACUUACAACGGAGAUUAGCUCAUAUCUAGGACUUACAACGGAGAUAAGCUCCUAUCUAGGACUUACGAUAACUGUCCUCAAGGCAUGCAUUGUAAUUGUGUGUUUAUGAUGUCCUGUAAUUAAAGACAUGUCCUCUUUGGGCUACUUUCCUUAAAUUUAUAACAAUAUUUAUAAAAAAUGUUCUAUAAAAGUAAAACUAUUAUUCUGAAUAAUAAUUAAUAGAAAUAUACUGCUUAUUUAAAGCC
rnacentral:sRNA from 1 species